UAGCUUGCUACUUUGCCGGCAAGCGGCGGACGGGUGAGAUAAUGUCUGGGAAACUGCCUGAUGGAGGGGGAUAACUACUGGAAACGGUAGCUAAUACCGCAUGACGUCGCAAGACCAAAGUGGGGGACCUUCGGGCCUCACGCCAUCGGAUGUGCCCAGAUGGGAUUAGCUAGUAGGUGAGGUAAUGGCUCACCUAGGCGACGAUCCCUAGCUGGUCUGAGAGGAUGACCAGCCACACUGGAACUGAGACACGGUCCAGACUCCUACGGGAGGCAGCAGUGGGGAAUAUUGCACAAUGGGCGCAAGCCUGAUGCAGCCAUGCCGCGUGUGUGAAGAAGGCCUUAGGGUUGUAAAGCACUUUCAGCGAGGAGGAAGGCGUUGUAGUUAAUAGCUGCAACGAUUGACGUUACUCGCAGAAGAAGCACCGGCUAACUCCGUGCCAGCAGCCGCGGUAAUACGGAGGGUGCAAGCGUUAAUCGGAAUUACUGGGCGUAAAGCGCACGCAGGCGGUUUGUUAAGUCAGAUGUGAAAUCCCCGAGCUUAACUUGGGAACUGCAUUUGAAACUGGCAAGCUAGAGUCUUGUAGAGGGGGGUAGAAUUCCAGGUGUAGCGGUGAAAUGCGUAGAGAUCUGGAGGAAUACCGGUGGCGAAGGCGGCCCCCUGGACAAAGACUGACGCUCAGUGCGAAAGCGUGGGGAGCAAACAGGAUUAGAUACCCCUGGGUAGUCCACGCUGUAAACGAUGUCACUUGGAAGGUUGUGCCCUUGAGGCGUGGGCUUCCGGAGCU
rnacentral:rRNA from 1 species